rnacentral:rRNA from 1 species
AGGGUUUGAUCCUGACUCAGAACGAACGCUAGCGGCGUGGAUUAGGUAUGCAAGUCGAACGGGAAGCUUAUGACGGAUCCUUCGGGUGAAGAUUUAAGUGAAACGUGGCGAACGGGUGAGUAAUGAAUGGACGAUCUGCCCUAAAGACCGGGAUAAUCCAUCGAAAGGUGGGGUAAUACCGGAUGGUAUGAUAUUUUCUAGGAUUUAUCAUUAAAGGUGGCUUCGGCUUCCACUUUAGGAGGUGUUCAUUUCCUAUUAGCUUGUUGGUGAGGUAACGGCUCACCAAGGCCGAGAUGGGUAGGGGGCCUUAGCGGGUUUUCCCCCACACUGGGACUGAGACACUGCCCAGGUUCCUACGGGAGGCUGCAAUCGAGAAUCCUCCGCAAUGGACGCAAGUCUGACGGGGUGACGCCGCGUGGAUGAUGAAGGCCUAUCAGGUUGUAAAAUCCUUACAGGGAGUAUGAAAUCUACAUUGUAUAAUAUGCAGUGUAAAUGACGUCAAUCCCAAAUGAAGUCACGGCUAAAUUCGUGCCAGCAGCCGCGGUAAUACGAAUGUGGCAAGCGUUGUUCGGAAUCACUGGGCAUAAAGCGCACGUAGGAGGUGUAGUAAGUUAACUUUGAAAUCCCUCGGCUCAACCGAGGAAUAGGAGUUGAUACUGCUAUACUAGAGUACAGAAGGGGAGAGUGGAAUUCUUGGUGUAGCGGUGGAAUGCGAAGAUAUCAAGGAGAAGGCCGGUGGCGAAAGCGACUCUCUGGUCUAAUACUGACUCUGAGGUGCGAAAGCGUAGGUAGCGAACGGGAUUAGAUACCCCGGUAGUCUACGCCGUAAACGAUGGGCACUAGAUGGUGGAAUCGCCGAUAGAUUUCUCCGUCGAAGCAAAUGCGUUAAGUGCCCCGCCUGGGGAGUAUGGCCGCAAGGUUAAAACUCAAAGGAAUUGACGGGGGCCCACACAAGCGGUGGAGGAUGCGGCUUAAUUCGAGUAUACGCGUAGAACCUUACCAAGGUUUGACAUGUAGGGAUUAAUCUGGUGAAAGCCAGAGGAUUGCCUUACGGUGUAACCUACACAGGUGCUGCAUGGCUGUCGACAGUUCGUUCGUGAGAUGUUAGGUUAAGUCCUGAAACGAGCGAAACCCCUAUGCUUAAUUGCCAGCGCGUUAUGGCGGGGACAUUAAGCAGACUGCCUCGGCUAACGGGGAGGAAGGUGGGGAUGACGUCAAGUCAGCAUGGCCUUUAUGCCUUGGGCUGCACGCGUCCUACAAUGGGCUGUACAAUGGGGACCAAUAUCGCGAGAUGGAGGAAAUCCUUAAAGCAGCUCUCAGUUCGGAUUGCAGGCUGAAACUCGCCUGCAUGAAGGUGGAAUCGCUAGUAAUCGCCGGUCAGCUACACGGCGGUGAAUACGUCCCUGGGCCUUGUACACACACCGCCCGUCAAGCCACCCGAGUUGAGAGCACUCGAAAUCCGAGACUCAACCUGCUUGCAGGAGAGAUCGGCUGAAGGUGAAUCUGAUGAGGUGGACUAAGUCGUAACAAGGUA